rnacentral:rRNA from 1 species
AUUGAACGCUGGCGGCAUGCUUUACACAUGCAAGUCGAACGGUAACAGGCCGCCAGGUGCUGACGAGUGGCGAACGGGUGAGUAAUGCAUCGGAACGUGCCCAGUCGUGGGGGAUAACUACUCGAAAGAGUAGCUAAUACCGCAUACGAUCUAUGGAUGAAAGCGGGGGACCGUAAGGCCUCGCGCGAUUGGAGCGGCCGAUGUCAGAUUAGGUAGUUGGUGGGGUAAAGGCUCACCAAGCCAACGAUCUGUAGCUGGUCUGAGAGGACGACCAGCCACACUGGGACUGAGACACGGCCCAGACUCCUACGGGAGGCAGCAGUGGGGAAUUUUGGACAAUGGGCGCAAGCCUGAUCCAGCAAUGCCACGUGCAGGAAGAAGGCCUUCGGGUUGUAAAAUGCUUUUGUACGGAACGAAACGGCUCUGGUUAAUACCCGGGGCUAAUGACGGUACCGUAAGAAUAAGCACCGGCUAACUACGUG